rnacentral:rRNA from 1 species
GACGAACGCUGGCGGCGUGCUUAACACAUGCAAGUCGUACGGAAAGGCCCUGCUUUUGUGGGGUGCUCGAGUGGCGAACGGGUGAGUAACACGUGAGUAACCUGCCCUUGACUUUGGGAUAACUUCAGGAAACUGGGGCUAAUACCGGAUAGGAGCUCCUGCUGCAUGGUGGGGGUUGGAAAGUUUCGGCGGUUGGGGAUGGACUCGCGGCUUAUCAGCUUGUUGGUGGGGUAGUGGUUUACCAAGGCUUUGACGGGUAGCCGGCCUGAGAGGGUGACCGGCCACAUUGGGACUGAGAUACGGCCCAGACUCCUACGGGAGGCAGCAGUGGGGAAUAUUGCACAAUGGGCGGAAGCCUGAUGCAGCAACGCCGCGUGCGGGAUGACGGCCUUCGGGUUGUAAACCGCUUUCGCCUGUGACGAAGCGUGAGUGACGGUAAUGGGUAAAGAAGCACCGGCUAACUACGUG